rnacentral:pre_miRNA from 1 species
GGUUGGAUUACAGGGCAAAUACUCCAUUGGCAGAUAGUUUUCGCUACAUCUAUAUUAUUUGUUAUUAUGGGUGAAUCAAUGUAUGAAAAAUAUAUACUUACUGCCAAAGGAGAUUUGCCCCGCAAUUCGUUC